CCAAUAGCGUAUAUUAAAGUUGUUGCAGUUAAAAAGCUCGUAGUUGAAUUUCGGGAUCAAUAUGUCGGUCGUGCCUUCGGUACGUACUGGUAUCAUUGGUCUCUCCUUUCUGACGAACCAUGAUGUCAUUAAUUUGGUGUUAUGGGGAGUUAGGACUGUUACUUUGAAAAAAUUAGAGUGUUUAAAGCAGGCUUUAGCUUGAAUACAUUAGCAUGGAAUAAUGAAAUAGGACGUUCGAACCUAUUUUGUUGGUUUCUAGGAUCAACGUAAUGAUUAAUAGGAAUAGUUGGGGGCAUUAUUAUUCAAUUGUCAGCGGUGAAAUUCUUGGAUUUAUUGAAGACUAACUACUGCGAAAGCAUUUGCCAAGGAUGUUUUCAUUAAUCAAGAACGAAAGUUAGGGGAUCUAAGACGAUCAGAUAACGUCGUAGUCUUAACCAUAAACUAUGCCGACUAGGGAUCGGAUGAUGUUAAUUUUUUAAUGACUCAUUCGGCGCCUUACG
rnacentral:rRNA from 1 species